GCCUGGCGGCUGUAGCGCGGUGGUCCCACCUGACCCCAUGCCGAACUCAGAAGUGAAACGCCGUAGCGCCGAUGGUAGUGUGGGGUCUCCCCAUGCGAGAGUAGGGAACUGCCAGGCAU
rnacentral:rRNA from 1 species